rnacentral:lncRNA from 1 species
GGCCAGUGAGUGGGGUGGAGCGCGGCCGGCGGCCGCCCCCGGCCGGUCUCGGGCCCGCAGCCCGCCCGCCUGAGCCUCGGCCGGCCCGGCCCGGGGCGGCGGCCGGAGCCCGGAGUGCGCGCCCGGCUCCCCUCCCCCCGCGGGUAAGUGGAAGUCAGGAGGGACCCAGGAGGGAGGCCGGGAGCGAUCGGCGCCUCGGCGGCAGCGGCGCCGGCAACUUUUCCGCGCCUGGCUCGUGGGCGGAGUGGGGCUGCGCCCGGCGGGUCCCCAAGAGCGUUGCGAGAAGGCGAGGGCGCCGCCCCGCGCGCCUUGAGCGCCCCGCCGCCCGGGGUGGGUCGGGGAUCGGGGACAGUGCGUCUGACGGUGGCGACGGCGGCCGCGGAGUCCCGGGGCGCCCCCUACGGAGCGGGGGAAGGGCGGCCCGGCCUCUGUUCCCUUCCCAGUGGCCCCUCCACCCCGACCCCCCAGGGGACGCAUGGGAAUGCGGUGGGGAGGGCGGGUCCCCGCGCGACUUGGGCAGGUCAAGGUGGGCAGAGAGUUGUCAGGGUGGGAGGGCUUGUGUCCGGCUCGGACAUGGGGCUUGGGUUGAGGGGCUUGGAUAUGCAUAUGCCUACCCCACUCCUAGCCCCCCGACCUGGCCUUUGGACGGGAGGAAUGGGUUGGGGGGGUCUCUCAGAGUUCUUUGGGUGGGGGCGGGGGUGGAUACCGGUCCAAGUUCUUGACGUGUCGCCCGCUGGGUAGGGGGAAGGUCUCUUGUUGGGCAGGGGCUGGUGGGAGCUGGGGGGAUGUCUCCUUUCCCUUCGGAGAAAAGCGCUCAUUCAAGGUUGCAUAGGAAGGAAAGCCAGGUUGGGGACCAGCCCUGUGCAGCUUGGGGUCCCCGUGCCUUUUGGCUGAAGGAGGAGGUUAAAAGGGCCCAGACUGAACCCCGACCCCUCUGUCUUAGCCCCAGACUGUUUUCUGAUUUUAGCACUAGAUUUGGCUGCCCCUAAAGCCCUUAGCCCUAACUGACCUUCCUGCCCAGCCCAGCCCAGCCCAGCCCAGCCAGGCCCCAGACCCAGUGGCUUCUUGAAUGUUUUGGCUGUGCAGCUGGCUCCUUGUCACCUGCCCCCUUCCCAACCUUCCCCAGCUGGCAGCCUCUGACUCCUGGUCUAUGAGGGUGAGGCUGGGGGCUGGGGGACCCCUGGCAUAAGGGGUGUCCUCUGGCAGUCCUGCCCCAGCUGGAGGGCUGUACCCAACAGGUGCCCAGGCUUAGAGGCGAGGUGAUGUUGGACACACCCUGUCCGCUCGCCCACAUGCCCUGCCCGGGCCAGCCUGGGUACAUGUGUUCACAUGCCGAUGUCCUGGGAAGGCACAGGCCCUGGGGCUGGUGCUAGCUUUGUUCUCUGAUCCCGUGAGGCACCCAUGGCCCUCUGCCCUUGCAGCACGUCCUCUGGGAGCUCCUUCAAGACCCCAACAGGCAGGCCUUGCCUGUGGAUCUAGAGGGGGCCCUAAAAUAGGUGCCGGCCUGGCCUGGGGCUGGCACGCGGAGCACAUGCGUGACAGGGCGUGUCCAGAGGGUCGGGCCUGUCUGUGCUGGCCUGGCCACUGAGCCUCCGCCGACCCUUGCUCGCUGGAGAAAGACAGCAGAGGCGGAUGCUUUAGGAGGGACCCCCGUGUCGUGCCCACCCUCUAACAAUGCAAGUGGACGCCAGAUGUUCCAUGCAGACCGCAGCUGCGGGGCAGGCCCCCAUCUAUCUGCAAUCCCAGGGUGCCAGCCUCUGGCCCCGCCCGGUGCCCCCCUCACCCCUGUGCCACGGCCGGCUGGGGUUCCUGGGGAUGGGAUUUGCUUCCUGUCACAAAUCACAUUGCCAGGGAUUUCCAACCGACCCUGAGCUCUGCCACCGAGGAUGCUGCCCGGGGACGGGGUGGCAGAGAGGCCCCGAAGCCUGUGCCUGGCCUGAGGAGCAGGGCUUAGCUGCUUGUGAGCAGGGUCCACACCAAGUCGUGUUCACAGUGGCUAAGUUCCGCCCCCCAGGCCCUCACCUCCUCUGGCCUUGCCGCCUGUCCCCUGCUGCCGCCUGUCUGCCUGCCAUCCUGCUGCCUGGCCUCCCUGGGCUCUGCCUCCCGUGCCUACUGAGCUGAAACACAGUUGGUUUGUGUACACUGGCUCAGUUCAGCAGGAACAGGGGUCAAGCCCCCUUGGAGCCUGCAGCCCCUGCCUUCCCUGGGUGGGCUGAUGCUUGGAGCAGAGAUGAGGACUCAGAAUCAGACCUGUGUCUGGAGGAGGGAUGUGGUGGGUGGGGUUGGCUGGGCCCAAAUGUGUGCUGCAGGCCCUGAUCCCCAACUCUGCAACUGGGGACCCCUGCAUGGCCACAGCUCAGGCUGGGCUGUGGUGCCAGCAUAGAUAGGUGGGUGAGUGGGUGGCCCUUCCAUUAAAAGGGAAGCCAGCUGUGUCCUUUCCGGGCCUGGAGGCUUGGCCCCUCCUCUCCCAAGCCUGGCAGGGGCACUGGCCCGGCCCGCACCUUCCUAGCAGCCAGUUACCCAAGAGGAAGCUGCCUUGGGCCUCCAGACCGUUAAAUGCCAACUCCUGGCUUCCGGUAUCAGGCUGGGUUGACCUGACCUGGCCCCUUCUUGCUGGGCCCUGCAGCUUUCUAACUUGCCGGGAGGAGCAGUGACACCCGCCCCACAUGUGGGGCAUGGAACAAGUUCCUUGUGGACCCAGAAGGGACACAAGCAGGUGUGCUUAGUCCUGAGGCGCUGGGAAUAGCUGAUCCUCCCUGCCUUGAGGGGGUUCUCAGGGCAGGGAAGAGUUAGGACUCUGUUUUUUUUUUUUUGUUUUUUUUUUUUUGAGAUGGAGUCUCGCACUGUCACCCGGGCUGGAGUGCAAUGGCUCGAUCUCGGCUCACUGCAACCUCCACCUCCCCAGUUCACACGAUUCUCCUGCCUCAGCCUCCCAAGUAGCUGGGAUUACAGGUGCACACCACCGCACCUGGCUAAUUUUUGUAUUUUUAGUAGAGACCGAGUUUCGCCAUGUUGGCCAGGCUGGUCUCGAACUCUUGACCUCAGGUGAUCUGCCCGCCUCAGCCACCCAAAGUGUUGGGAUUACAGGCAUGAGCCACUGCGCCCGGCCAAUUUUUUUUUAUGUUUUGUAGAGACGGGGUUUCGCCAUGUUACCCAGACUGGUCUUGAACUCCUGACCUCAAGCAAUCUGCUCGUCUUAGCCUCCCAAAGUGCUGGGAUUACAGCUGUGAGCCACCGUGCCUGGCCUUUUAUUGUUUGUUUUUGAGACGGAGUCUCACUCUGUUGCCCAGGCUGAAGUGCAGUGGUGUGAUCUUGGCUCACUGCAACCUCUGCCUCCUGGGUUCAAGCGAUUCUCCUGCCUCAGCCUCCUGAGUAGCUGGGCUUACAGGCACCCACCACCAUGCCCGGCUAAUCUUUGUAUUUUUAGUAGAGACGGGGUUUCACCAUCUUGGCCAGGCUGGUGUGAUCAUGGCUCAUUGCAACCUUGAAUUCCUGGGCACAAGUGAUCCUCCUGCCUUAGCCUCCCCAGUAGAGCUGGGACUACAGGUAUGCGCCACCACACCUGGCUAAUUUUUUUAAUUUUAAUUUUUGUAGAGAUGGGGGGGCAGGUCUCACUAUGUUGCCCAGGCUGUUCUCGAACUCCUGGCCACAAGCCAUCCUCCCACCUUAGUCUCCCAAUGCGCCGGAAUUACAGGUGGCUCAGGUGUGAGCCACCGUGCCUGGCUUUUCUCCACUAUCUUGAAAUCAGAUGGGAGGAGGCUUUUUUCUGGGUGGGACUGAGGAGGCACACUGAAGUCCCCCAGGUCAUCGGGGCUGGGCCAUUGCCUUUUUCCCCACCCUGGGUAGUCGUGGACAGAAGCUUGGGAUGGGAUGGAGAGGAGAGAUCGUGCUGUGUGUCAUGUCUGUUGUUCAAGUAAAUAAAAGUUGCCCUGACUUCAUUCCUGAAGGUCUGGUCUGUGAUUCACUCCUGCCUCCCAUCGCUGGAGUUUCAGCUUUUGAUUGGCCUGAAUUUACCAUCCUGGCACUCCGGGCUCCUGCCUGCCCAUCCCUGCCCCACCUGCUCUGUGCAGCAGGGUAUCCUGUGCUUGGAAAGGUGACCUUGGGGGUGUCCUGGAUCGUGGGGUGACCAUGAGGGAAACCCUAGAGUGGAAAGAUUUUCACAUCGCUGAUCAAGGGAGGAUGGAAGCUGAUCUGAAGUGGUGGUGGUGGGGUGACCCUGAGGGAAACGCUGAGCCUGAGGGGUGACAUGUGGCGAUAACCAGGAUCUGAGGGUCUUGAGCUAGUGACAUUUGGGGGCAACUUGGACCUACGGGAUUACUCAGGCCUCAGGGGAAGAUUUGGGGUGCCUGGUAUCUGAGAAUGCUGGAGGGGAACUUGGGUUUGAGGGAUGUGACAUGAAGGAAACCCCAGUUCUUAAGGGGGGACAUUUGGAUGUGGCUGGGACCUGCGUGACGCCCCAGGAACAUGGGAACAUUCGUGGGUGACACCUGAGGGGCACAGUAAAGGGUCCCCCAGGUCCGAAGGCGGCAGGGACCACAAGGGGUGCACUCCGGGCUCUCCACCCACCUCCACCGUCCCAGACCUCGAGGCGGCGCCACGGAGCGCGCGGGGCAGUCCCGGGUCCGCCCGCACAUACCUGCUGGAAUACGCGCGGCGGGGCAGGAGGUGGGGCCGUCUCCGAUUGGCCCACUCGAGCGGAGGGGCGGUGCGAAAAGCCAAUCCCCAUGCACAGCGCCGCCAAAGUCCCGCCCCCGACUGCGGGCCCCGCCCUCUAGCGACGGGCCCUGCCGCUCCGGGAAGCCUCUGUCCUCUCCUGCCCCGGCUCUGGCAGUGACCCAGACACAGCAUCUCCAUUCAUCCAAAAGGCAGGAAGGCCCCGAGGAAACUGCUUCUCGGGGAGCCAGGGACGUUUAGACAACCACGGGCUUUCUCGCCGUCCUUUGGAUCCCAUCCCUCACUCUAUUUGACGACUGGGAGCCUCUUCAGUGGCGCAAGAUCCCAGACACGCCCUGGCCACGUCCCCUGGCGAGUGUCCACGCACAGACCACCCCCACUCCGUUUUUCUUCUCUUGGCCAGAGCCCCGCCCACCGAGGUCGAGUCUAAACCCGGGGUUCCCGCUUUUGAUCGGGGUGUCUUCCCCAUCCAGCUGCACCAACACCUGCCACAGCCUCCCAUGCUCAGCAAUUUGGAGACAAGGACCCCCAACAUUGGUGUCUGGAGCCAGGGCGCCCCCCACCCCCAUCUUGGCCCUUCCUAGGGGCUCAAGGACCCUGCAGUCAGGGGUGGGCAGGGGUCAGUGGCCCCAACCAGGUCCUAAAUCAAACGUCCUAGCUAGGUGCCCUUCCCCCCUGCCCCCCACCCACGGAGUCUCGCUCUGUCGCCCAGGCUGGAGUGCAGUGGGGCGAUCUCGGCUCACUGCAAGCUCCACCUCCAGGGUUCACGCCAUUCUCCUGCCUCAGCCUCCCUAGUAGCUGGGACUACAGGCGCCCGUCACCACGCCUGGCUAAUUUUUUGUUAUAUCUUUAGUAGAGACGGGGUUUUACCGUGUUAGUCAGGAUGGUCUCAAUCUCCUGACCUCGUGAUCCGCCCGCCUCGGCCUCCCAAAGUGCUGGGAUUACAGACGUGAGCCACCGCGCCCGGCCGCUGGGUGCCCUUUCUUUCCACUUUGCAACCUCAGUUUUCUCAUCUGUAAAAUGGAAAAGAUAAUCCUACCAACUCAUAGGGCUGUGGUGACGAUUAAAUGACAGCGGUAACGCAUUCAGCCCUGUGUUCCCUCAUGGUGAGCUGUCCAUCUCUGUUUUGAAAUAUUUACAUAAGGCCGGGUGCGGUGGCUCACGCCUGUAAUCCCAGCACUUUGGGAGGCUGAGGCGGGCAGACCACCUGAGGUCAGGUGUUCGAGACCAGCCUGGCCAACAUGGUGAAACCCCGUCUCUACUAAAAAAUACAAAAAUUAGCCCGGUGUGGUGGCGCAUGCCUGUAAUCCCAGCUACUUGGGAGGCUGAGCCAGGAGAAUCGCUUGAACCCGGGAGGUGGAGGUUGGAGUGAGCCCAGAUCGCGCUACUGCACUCCAGCCUGGGCAACAGAGAAAGACCAAAAAAAAAAAAAGGGAAAUAUUUACAUAAUUACCAUGGAAUGAAGCCAGCAGUCGCUCCCAUCCCACCCCUCGCUUGGCGCUGCACCCAGAAAUAAGGCCAGACAUUUUUUUUUUUUUUUUUUUUUUUUGCGGAGGAAACGAGGUUGAGGGUGUGAGUGGCUCUGGAGAUGCACCCCAGUCUCAAAAUAAAAUUAAAAAGAAAAAUUUCUGUUCAAU